AUGUCUAUUGUUUAGAGGAGCGCAAUUACCCUGCUUGGCAAGUGGGGUACCAGUGCGUCUGUCCAAAAGUUGGACACGUACGCGGUGCUUGCACCGAAGCGAGAAGCAGCGUGCAGUGCUUCUACGUUGAAACGAAGAAGCGAUGCCUGGCCAUCGCGCACGCGGAGCGUACCCGGAACGACAGCACUCGUGCCUACCAGCUUCCAAGGAUGGACGCUGGUAGGCACGCUGCAUAAGAGUGCCUUGCGUUUCCGGGGAACGUAGGUCGUUUCAGUGUAGAGGUGCUGUGGAUAUCGAGUGCGCUCUGGUAUGGUAGAAGCCUGCCGUCUCGGGUCGCGGGAGGAUCGACUCACGAGAGGCGUCUCGUUUCCGCUCGGACCAGAACUCUUUAUGUAUAAAGCCUCGAGUUGGGAGAAAUGUAAGAAUUCCUUCAAGAAAACAGGAAUUCUGGAUAUGCAUCCGGUCCACGGGCUGCGUCUUUGAUAGAUACGUGCUCGCGUCGAAUGCUUCGUGGUGUAGCACCCGUACGAGUCACCACUUGCCACCGGGAAACGCAUGUGCUGCGGAGCGCUACAGUGCAGAACACUGGCCAAGCACGAGCACCUCGCGAGGUGUCUGGGUCCGCGGUUGGACCGCACCGGAGCAUCCUACGGUGCAGAACCUGGUACCAGCUGGUUAUGCUUUCUGGAACGCGUACUGGCGAGAAACCUUGGUAAUACCUCGAAUGAAGCGCACCCAGGAUAGGACGCAUUCGCACUCCUACCGCGUCAAAUCCUAGAUUGCAGGCACAAGCGAGCAUGAAAACGUUGACAGAUGAGGCAAAAUCGAAGCAGAAUCGACGUAGCCCUGAAACUCCGAUUCAAAUGCAUGAUGAUGAAGCGAACUACAAUGGCCUCGAGGCAGCAUUGACGUCUCCGUAAAACAUUUGACAAGGAAUCAAGGUAGCUGCCUGGUUCAUGACCUGGCGCGAGCAGAGCUCGUGCUCUGGACGCUGGUGCGUCGGAUCCAUCAACCGCAUCAAGCGAGGCUCUGUUGCAGGAGCAGUUUGCGCGUAACAUGCUUCUUGACGCUGAGGAGUCGAAGAAUGUAAUGGAAUGCUCCGAAAUUAUGCACGCGUUACCUGUAAUCCGGGAAACGACCCCAGUCCGACGAAAACGCAUCCACCUGCCGCUCAUCGUAGUGCAUGAGGCGUCCAGGGGAUCAUUUGGGAUGCACUGGUUAUACUCAGAUUAGCGCAUUCCGGAAUACCUGUAUCAGCAUGCCCGCUUCGCUUUCGUAUGAUGCUCUCGCAGUAGUACUCGUAAGACGCACGUUCAUCCCAGUCGAUUAGACUUCAUUCGGCAGUAGUGGAAUACAUUUUCGGUGGGCAAUCAAAAAGGGGCAAACCGCUGUUCGCAAAGUCGUAACAGUCAAGCAUUCCGGGAACAUCAACGUUCGCAGCGACGCUACCGUUUGGUCACAUACAAAUCAUGAAACGGACGCGAUCGCUCAACACAUGAUCCACAGUUGAAGCACGCUUCUUGGCUUUUUAUUCCCACAAUCUUCGGUGCUGCUCAUGGGGAACGUCGCUUUCGAUCACUAAAAAGCGAUAAGAGGAUGAUGUGGCUGAAAUAGGUACUGAGCUGCGCUGCGUGGCAUCCCGUUCUAAGUGCUUCACUCCAGCCGAAGGCGUGUUCUCUAUUGUGAAGAGCCACGCUGGCACUUACCGGUCCAUAGAUGCGUCGCUCGUUCCUAUGACACCAAAGUCUUUCGACAGGCGCUUCUCUAACGUCACCAAUCCUAAACCGCUGUAUUGCUUCGCUGCGAAUGCGCGGGAGUGAGCGGAAAACGCGCUCCGGUCCGUGGGCAUGCUCGCGACCGCGAGGGUGACGAAAAGAUACUUGAGGAAACGGAGAUCCAUAGAUAGAUAUGACGAGUCUCAGACCUAUAGUCGAAUCUGUUCGUCUGAAUGCCGAGUAGAAAGCGGGUAAAGCGCAAAGCGA